rnacentral:rRNA from 1 species
UACGAAGGGGGCUAGCGUUGCUCGGAAUCACUGGGCGUAAAGGGUGCGUAGGCGGGUCUUUAAGUCAGGGGUGAAAUCCUGGAGCUCAACCCCAGAACUGCCUUUGAUACUGAGGAUCUUGAGUUCGGGAGAGGUGAGUGGAACUGCGAGUGUAGAGGUGAAAUCCGUAGAUAUUCGCAAGAACACCAGUGGCGAAGGCGGCUCACUGGCCCGAUACUGACGCUGAGGCACGAAAGCGUGGGGAGCAAACAGG